rnacentral:lncRNA from 1 species
UUUUAGAUGAAUUUGUUUAGGUAUGAAAUGAUUUGGUUAUGAGAGAAACUGGAAAAUGAGUCAGACACGCAGCGGCACAUUUAGGUAUUUUACUUGUGUCAAUGUGAACUUAUCGAUGUCGGAAAAACAAUUUUCUUUAAAGAGACAUAAACUAAUUUAAAUGUUAGGCCCAAGAAAAUUAAAUAAGGCACUGUAAAGGAAAUUUAUUUCAAAAAGAUAUUUUUUUGGUGAGGAUCGAACAUAUGACCAUGCACCCAAUCAAAAGAUGCAGUGCCACUGAAGCACUGGAUUGAAAUUUGUUCGCUUUCAUCGUACAUAACUAUUAUGUUAGCGCCUUAGUUACAAAAAAA